GAUGAACGCUGGCGGCGUGCCUAAUACAUGCAAGUCGAACGAGGUGCUUUUGUAGCAAUACGAAAGUAUCCUAGUGGCGAACGGGUGAGUAACGCGUUGGUGACCUACCCCAAAGUGUGGGAUAACAGUUCGAAAGAACUGCUAAUACCCCAUGAGUUCUACGAGGUUAGAGACUGGUAGAAGAAACGGAGCAAUUCGCUUUGGGAGGGGCCUGCGUCCCAUCAGCUAGUUGGUAGGGUAAAAGCCUACCAAGGCGAUGACGGGUAGGGACCUGAGAGGGUGGCCCCCCACAAUGGAACUGAAACACGGUCCAUACACCUACGGGUGGCAGCAGUAGGGAAUAUUGCUUAAUGGGCGAAAGCCUGAAGCAGCAACGCCGCGUGCACGAUGAAGGCCUUCGGGUCGUAAAGUGCUUUUGGAGGGAUGAGGAAGGACAGUACCUCCAAAAUAAGCCUCGGCUAACUACGUG
rnacentral:rRNA from 1 species